AGCGUACACGGUGGAUGCCCUGGCAGUCAGAGGCGAUGAAGGACGUGCUAAUCUGCGAUAAGCGUCGGUAAGGUGAUAUGAACCGUUAUAACCGGCGAUUUCCGAAUGGGGAAACCCAGUGUGAUUCGUCACACUAUCAUUAACUGAAUCCAUAGGUUAAUGAGGCGAACCGGGGGAACUGAAACAUCUAAGUACCCCGAGGAAAAGAAAUCAACCGAGAUUCCCCCAGUAGCGGCGAGCGAACGGGGAGGAGCCCAGAGCCUGAAUCAGUGUGUGUGUUAGUGGAAGCGUCUGGAAAGGCGCGCGAUACAGGGUGACAGCCCCGUACACAAAAAUGCACAUGCUGUGAGCUCGAUGAGUAGGGCGGGACACGUGGUAUCCUGUCUGAAUAUGGGGGGACCAUCCUCCAAGGCUAAAUACUCCUGACUGACCGAUAGUGAACCAGUACCGUGAGGGAAAGGCGAAAAGAACCCCGGCGAGGGGAGUGAAAAAGAACCUGAAACCGUGUACGUACAAGCAGUGGGAGCACGCUUAGGCGUGUGACUGCGUACCUUUUGUAUAAUGGGUCAGCGACUUAUAUUCUGUAGCAAGGUUAACCGAAUAGGGGAGCCGAAGGGAAACCGAGUCUUAACUGGGCGUUAAGUUGCAGGGUAUAGACCCGAAACCCGGUGAUCUAGCCAUGGGCAGGUUGAAGGUUGGGUAACACUAACUGGAGGACCGAACCGACUAAUGUUGAAAAAUUAGCGGAUGACUUGUGGCUGGGGGUGAAAGGCCAAUCAAACCGGGAGAUAGCUGGUUCUCCCCGAAAGCUAUUUAGGUAGCGCCUCGUGAAUUCAUCUCCGGGGGUAGAGCACUGUUUCGGCAAGGGGGUCAUCCCGACUUACCAACCCGAUGCAAACUGCGAAUACCGGAGAAUGUUAUCACGGGAGACACACGGCGGGUGCUAACGUCCGUCGUGAAGAGGGAAACAACCCAGACCGCCAGCUAAGGUCCCAAAGUCAUGGUUAAGUGGGAAACGAUGUGGGAAGGCCCAGACAGCCAGGAUGUUGGCUUAGAAGCAGCCAUCAUUUAAAGAAAGCGUAAUAGCUCACUGGUCGAGUCGGCCUGCGCGGAAGAUGUAACGGGGCUAAACCAUGCACCGAAGCUGCGGCAGCGACGCUGAUGCGUUGUUGGGUAGGGGAGCGUUCUGUAAGCCUGCGAAGGUGUGCUGUGAGGCAUGCUGGAGGUAUCAGAAGUGCGAAUGCUGACAUAAGUAACGAUAAAGCGGGUGAAAAGCCCGCUCGCCGGAAGACCAAGGGUUCCUGUCCAACGUUAAUCGGGGCAGGGUGAGUCGACCCCUAAGGCGAGGCCGAAAGGCGUAGUCGAUGGGAAACAGGUUAAUAUUCCUGUACUUGGUGUUACUGCGAAGGGGGGACGGAGAAGGCUAUGUUGGCCGGGCGACGGUUGUCCCGGUUUAAGCGUGUAGGCUGGUUUUCCAGGCAAAUCCGGAAAAUCAAGGCUGAGGCGUGAUGACGAGGCACUACGGUGCUGAAGCAACAAAUGCCCUGCUUCCAGGAAAAGCCUCUAAGCAUCAGGUAACAUCAAAUCGUACCCCAAACCGACACAGGUGGUCAGGUAGAGAAUACCAAGGCGCUUGAGAGAACUCGGGUGAAGGAACUAGGCAAAAUGGUGCCGUAACUUCGGGAGAAGGCACGCUGAUAUGUAGGUGAAGUCCCUCGCGGAUGGAGCUGAAAUCAGUCGAAGAUACCAGCUGGCUGCAACUGUUUAUUAAAAACACAGCACUGUGCAAACACGAAAGUGGACGUAUACGGUGUGACGCCUGCCCGGUGCCGGAAGGUUAAUUGAUGGGGUUAGCGCAAGCGAAGCUCUUGAUCGAAGCCCCGGUAAACGGCGGCCGUAACUAUAACGGUCCUAAGGUAGCGAAAUUCCUUGUCGGGUAAGUUCCGACCUGCACGAAUGGCGUAAUGAUGGCCAGGCUGUCUCCACCCGAGACUCAGUGAAAUUGAACUCGCUGUGAAGAUGCAGUGUACCCGCGGCAAGACGGAAAGACCCCGUGAACCUUUACUAUAGCUUGACACUGAACAUUGAGCCUUGAUGUGUAGGAUAGGUGGGAGGCUUUGAAGUGUGGACGCCAGUCUGCAUGGAGCCGACCUUGAAAUACCACCCUUUAAUGUUUGAUGUUCUAACGUUGACCCGUAAUCCGGGUUGCGGACAGUGUCUGGUGGGUAGUUUGACUGGGGCGGUCUCCUCCUAAAGAGUAACGGAGGAGCACGAAGGUUGGCUAAUCCUGGUCGGACAUCAGGAGGUUAGUGCAAUGGCAUAAGCCAGCUUGACUGCGAGCGUGACGGCGCGAGCAGGUGCGAAAGCAGGUCAUAGUGAUCCGGUGGUUCUGAAUGGAAGGGCCAUCGCUCAACGGAUAAAAGGUACUCCGGGGAUAACAGGCUGAUACCGCCCAAGAGUUCAUAUCGACGGCGGUGUUUGGCACCUCGAUGUCGGCUCAUCACAUCCUGGGGCUGAAGUAGGUCCCAAGGGUAUGGCUGUUCGCCAUUUAAAGUGGUACGCGAGCUGGGUUUAGAACGUCGUGAGACAGUUCGGUCCCUAUCUGCCGUGGGCGCUGGAGAACUGAGGGGGGCUGCUCCUAGUACGAGAGGACCGGAGUGGACGCAUCACUGGUGUUCGGGUUGUCAUGCCAAUGGCACUGCCCGGUAGCUAAAUGCGGAAGAGAUAAGUGCUGAAAGCAUCUAAGCACGAAACUUGCCCCGAGAUGAGUUCUCCCUGACUCCUUGA
rnacentral:rRNA from 1 species